rnacentral:tRNA from 1 species
CAGAAAAUAGUUUAAGGAAAAUAAUAAUUUUGGAGAUUAUCGAUGAAUAAAAUAUUUUUUUCUGA